rnacentral:rRNA from 1 species
CACGUGGGUGAUCUGCCCUGCACUUCGGGAUAAGCCUGGGAAACUGGGUCUAAUACCGGAUAUGACCUCCUAUCGCAUGGUGGGUGGUGGAAAGAUUUAUCGGUGCAGGAUGGGCCCGCGGCCUAUCAGCUUGUUGGUGGGGUAAUGGCCUACCAAGGCGACGACGGGUAGCCGACCUGAGAGGGUGACCGGCCACACUGGGACUGAGACACGGCCCAGACUCCUACGGGAGGCAGCAGUGGGGAAUAUUGCACAAUGGGCGAAAGCCUGAUGCAGCGACGCCGCGUGAGGGAUGACGGCCUUCGGGUUGUAAACCUCUUUCAGCAGGGACGAAGCGCAAGUGACGGUACCUGCAGAAGAAGCACCGGCUAACUACGUG